rnacentral:tRNA from 1 species
GCGAAUACAGUCUUUUCCCUUUGUAUGUCAGAAAACUCCGACUCUGAAGGCCGCUGGUUUGAAUCCAGUCGGGCGUACCA